GAUGAACGCUGGCGGCGUGCCUAAUACAUGCAAGUCGAGCGAACAGACGAGGAGCUUGCUCCUCUGACGUUAGCGGCGGACGGGUGAGUAACACGUGGAUAACCUACCUAUAAGACUGGGAUAACUUCGGGAAACCGGAGCUAAUACCGGAUAAUAUGUUGAAUCGCAUGGUUCAACAGUGAAAGACGGUCUUGCUGUCACUUAUAGAUGGAUCCGCGCCGCAUUAGCUAGUCGGUAAGGUAACGGCUUACCAAGGCAACGAUGCGUAGCCGACCUGAGAGGGUGAUCGGCCACACUGGAACUGAGACACGGUCCAGACUCCUACGGGAGGCAGCAGUAGGGAAUCUUCCGCAAUGGGCGAAAGCCUGACGGAGCAACGCCGCGUGAGUGAAGAAGGUCUUCGGAUCGUAAAACUCUGUUAUUAGGGAAGAACAAAUGUGUAAGUAACUAUGCACGUCUUGACGGUACCUAAUCAGAAAGCCACGGCUAACUACGUG
rnacentral:rRNA from 1 species